AUGCAAAUGACGAGUCCCAAAUAGGAUGAAAUGCGCAUCAAGGAU
rnacentral:hammerhead_ribozyme from 1 species